AGUGGGGAAUUUUCCGCAAUGGGCGAAAGCCUGACGGAGCAAGACCGCGUGAGGGAGGAAGGCUCUUGGGUUGUAAACCUCUUUUCUCAGGGAAGAAGCACUGACGGCACCUGAGGAAUAAGCCUCGGCUAACUCCGUGCCAGCAGCCGCGGUAAUACGGAGGAGGCAAGCGUUAUCCGGAAUUAUUGGGCGUAAAGCGUCCGCAGGUGGCGAUUCAAGUCUGCUGUCAAAGCACGGGGCUUAACUCCGUUAAGGCAGUGGAAACUGAAUGGCUAGAGUGCCGUAGGGGUAGAGGGAAUUCCCGGUGUAGCGGUGAAAUGCGUAGAGAUCGGGAAGAACAUCGGUGGCGAAAGCGCUCUACUGGACGGCAACUGACACUCAGGGACGAAAGCUAGGGGAGCGAAUGGGAUUAGAUACCCCAGUAGUCCUAGCUGUAAACGAUGGAUACUAGGUGUAGCUUGUAUCGACCCGAGCUGUGCCGAAGCUAACGCGUUAAGUAUCCCGCCUGGGGAGUACGCACGCAAGUGUG
rnacentral:rRNA from 1 species